rnacentral:rRNA from 1 species
GAGCGGUAACAGGUGUAGCAAUACAUGCUGACGAGCGGCAAACGGGUGAGUAAUGCUUCGGAAUCUGCCCAAUGGUGGGGAAUAACCAGCCGAAAGGUUGGCUAAUACCGCAUGAGCCCUACGGGGGAAAGCAGGGGAUCGUAAGACCUUGCGCCGAUGGAUGAGCCGAAGUCGGAUUAGCUAGUUGGUAGGGUAACAGCCUACCAAGGCGACAAUCCGUAGCUGGUCUGAGAGGACGACCAGCCACACUGGGACUGAGACACGGCCCAGACUCCUACGGGAGGCAGCAGUGGGGAAUAUUGGACAAUGGGGGAAACCCUGAUCCAGCGACGCCGCGUGUGUGAAGAAGGCCUGCGGGUUGUAAAGCACUUUUAGUGGGGAUGAAAAGCUCAGGGCUAACACCUCUGGGUCUUGACCUAACCCACAGAAAAAGCACCGGCUAACUCUGUG